rnacentral:pre_miRNA from 13 species
ACCACGUGACCACACCGCAGUGCCGCGCUCCGUGUAUUUGACAAGCUGAGUUGGACACUCCGUGUGGUUGAGUGUCAGUUUGUCAAAUACCCUAAGUGAGGCAUUGCUCAGCCACGUUGCUCAU